GUAACAAGGUCUCCGUAGGUGAACCUGCGGAGGGAUCAUUACACAAUAUGAAAGCGGGCUGGCAUCCUUCGGGGUUACAGCCUUGCUGAAUUAUUCACCCGUGUCUUUUGCGUACUUCUUGUUUCCUUGGUGGGUUCGCCCACCAUAGGACAAACCAUAAACCUUUUGUAAUUGCAAUCAGCGUCAGUAAAAAAAUUAAUAAUUACAACUUUUAACAACGGAUCUCUUGGUUCUGGCAUCGAUGAAGAACGCAGCGAAAUGCGAUAAGUAGUGUGAAUUGCAGAAUUCAGUGAAUCAUCGAAUCUUUGAACGCACAUUGCGCCCUUUGGUAUUCCAAAGGGCAUGCCUGUUCGAGCGUCAUUUGUACCCUCAAGCUUUGCUUGGUGUUGGGCGUCUUGUCUCCAGUUCGCUGGAGACUCGCCUUAAAGUAAUUGGCAGCCGGCCUACUGGUUUCGGAGCGCAGCACAAGUCGCGCUCUCUUCCAGCCAAGGUCAGCAUCCACAAAGCCUUUUUUCAACUUUUGACCUCGGAUCAGGUAGGGAUACCCGCUGAACUUAAGCAUAUC
rnacentral:misc_RNA from 1 species